rnacentral:sRNA from 1 species
UGCCUAAACCCGUAAAGGUAUGGCAUGAAAUACCCGACCAAGUUAGUAAACUCCUCAUUCAGGCGGAGGCACUCUUGGUCGGGUCAUAGUUCCGAAAGGACUAUGGGUAGCCCUCGGGCUACC